CCGCAAGGAAGUAAGAUCCCUGAAAGAUGAUCAGGUUGAUAGGUCUGAGGUGGAAGUGUGGCGACACAUGGAGCUGACAGAUACUAAUCGAUCGAGGACUUAACCUAA
rnacentral:rRNA from 1 species